CCUACGGGAGGCAGCAGUGGGGAAUAUUGGGCAAUGGAGGAAACUCUGACCCAGCAACGCCGCGUGAAUGAUGAAGGUCUUCGGAUUGUAAAGUUCUUUUCUAAGGGAAGAAGAAAGUGACGGUACCUUAGGAAUAAGCCUCGGCUAACUACGUGCCAGCAGCCGCGGUAAUACGUAGGAGGCGAGCGUUAUCCGGAAUGACUGGGCGUAAAGGGUGCGUAGGUGGUAUGGCAAGUUAGUAGCGAAACUCCAGGGCUCAACCUUGGAACUACUACUAAAACUGUUGGACUUGAGUGCAGGAGAGGAAACCGGAAUUCCUAGUGUAGCGGUGGAAUGCGUAGAUAUUAGGAGGAACACCAGUGGCGAAGGCGAGUUGCUGGACUGUAACUGACACUGAGGCACGAAAGCGUGGGGAGCAAACAGGAUUAGAUACCCCUGUAGUC
rnacentral:rRNA from 1 species